GCCCCGUUGGCUUAGUGGUAAAGCGUAUCACUAGUAAUGAUAAGAUCACUGGUUCGAUUCCAGUACGGGGCA
rfam:Nectria haematococca mpVI 77-13-4 chromosome 5 genomic scaffold NECHAsca_12_chr5_2_0, whole genome shotgun sequence.